rnacentral:rRNA from 1 species
GACGAACGCUGGCGGCGUGCUUAACACAUGCAAGUCGAACGGAAAGGCCUGCUUUCCCUUGUGGAUUGCGGGUACUCGAGUGGCGAACGGGUGAGUAACACGUGAGUGAUCUGCCCCCAACUUGGGUAUAAGCCUGGGAAACUGGGUCUAAUUCCCGAUAGGACUGCAGGGUGGUGCCUGUGGUGGCAAACGAUUUUCUAGUGGUUGGGGAUGAGCUCGCGGCCUAUCAGCUUGUUGGGGGGGUAAUGGCCUACCAAGGCGGCGACGGGUAGCCGGCCUGGGAGGGUGGACGGCCACAUUGGGACUGAGAUACGGCCCAGACUCCUACGGGAGGCAGCAGUGGGGAAUAUUGCACAAUGGGCGGAAGCCUGAUGCAGCGACGCCGCGUGGGGGAUGACGGCCUUCGGGUUGUAAACUCCUUUCGACCGCGAGGAAGCCACCUGGUUGGAAGGGUGGUGACGGUAGUGGUAGAAGAAGCACCGGCUAACUACGUG